UAUGGUUUAUAUUUAGGUUCCCGAAAGGAUUUGUAGUUCGACUACAAAGGUGCCUUGUAACCGAUUAUUUUAAGGGGGAAUAUUUUUCUUAUG
rfam:Lactobacillus coryniformis subsp. coryniformis CECT 5711 COR000120, whole genome shotgun sequence.